GUUUUGUGUGUAUGUCUUUUAUCCACAAACUCGAGUUAUGAUUAGGUGAAAGAAUAAUCUAACAUAUGUACUAAUGUGGACUAUAUCUGUUUUUCAGGUGAUGGGGGUUACGGCUGCUACUCUUGGCUCCUUACUCCAUUGUCCCAACCUGAUUCUCCUGCUGAACACAGUUACAAUCAUGCACAUAAGGCUACGCGGAAUGUGAUAGAAAGAUGUUUUGGUGUGCUGAAGUCACGGUUUCGGUGUCUGGAUAAAUCUGCUGGCCUUUUGUUGUAUAGUCCCUCAAAGAUAACUGAGGGGAUCGGGGCUCAUCACUCUGCGAACUCGCCAAUAGUGCCAGUGGUGGCUGGGGUGACACUGCCGAAAGUCGUCGCCUGGGUGGGGAUGAUGGAGCCGCAGAUUCCGAGCCAAGACGCCGUGUCUUACUUGGCCUCCUGGAAUAUGUGACUACACUGAAGUCUUACCUGCAAUCCCAGCCUCAUCCUGACUUGUCUGAGGCCUGUCUGGCCGGCUGGUCUGUGGGACUGUUGAAAAAGUGUACCAAACAUUAUUACCAUGCUUUGUGUAAAAAAAACCCCUGCAAAGCCUUAUUGUACUGUAACCAUCUAUUAGGUAUUGGAUAAACAAAUAAUUUCUGAUUAA